UUUAUAAAAGCCAGCACAUAGUAUUUAUUGCUAGUAUUUGUAACAAAGUUUCAUUUCACAUGUAUGAUUUUUUUUUUUACCGAUUUCUGAAAAAAAAAACUAGACAGCUGCUUAUUUAGACCUUUUAUAUUUUUUUCAUAAAAAUUUAAUUAUUUUGUUUUUAAUGCAAAUAUUAAGAACAAAACUGAAAUGAGAUUAUAACACAAGUUCUAAUUUAUGUUCCUUAACAAUAAUGGUGCAGACUUAUGAAACUAAUCCUGAAUAUAUCUUCAGUGAUGACAAAAAAUGUCAACACUGUAUAACCAAUAAAAAAAAAAUUGAAUCUAACCAUUUAUAGAUCAACUUUAAUUAAGCAUUAUAAAUUAUUGGAGACAUCUUGUUUUCUUUUUAAUACCGGUAAUACAAAAUGUAAAGUAUGGAAUGUAGAAAAUCAUUUAAAAAAACAAGUAUAAAGCUGACAAAUUGCUUGAACAAUAUUCUUUGUAUAAUCUUAACAGAUAGUUCAGUUUGUGUUGCUGAUCAAGUGUGGUCCAUAUAUUGUGGUUACUUUUUUUUUACUGGUACAUUUCCACCAAGCUAAGAAUAAAGAAAGUUUUUACAUUUAGAUCUAGGUUUAGAACUCAGGAUAGAUAAUUAGGAACAUCACAGCACUCACCACUUUCAUGCUUUACUACUUCAUCCAGUCCAUUCAUUCUUUGCAUACAGAUCAGAUAAUUACAAUACAAUUGACAUAGCCACAUGGCACUAGAAAUCAUUAUUCAAUAUAGAAUAUAUUGACAUCAAAUAAAAAACGAACAGUUUGAAUUCCGUUAUUUUUCUAAAGCAGUAGUUGUUUUUCUAUUUUUAUUUAUAACUUUGAUGCCAAUGGUUUCAAUGACUUUAUUUCUUUAAAAAAAAUAUUUUUUCUUGCAAUGAAGAAUUAUAAUUAAUAUUUUCUAAAAAAUUGAUUUAAAAUUAUUCAAAGUGCAGUAGUUAAUGCAUUACAAGUGGCUACUUAAUAAAACAGUGCUGCAAAAACUAUUGCUGUUUUUCCUUAAUGGUAUUUCCAUGUCCAAGACACAUAUUAUUAGCAAAGUCAUGUUUAAAAAAAUUGUACAUUUUACUUUGUGGGUUUAUUUUUGAAAAUUUGGAUAGGUUACAUUUUUUUCUAAGAACAUCAAAUGUGAUUUAUAUUUAACAUAUUUUAGCAGUAAAAUACUAUUAGUAGUUGGCAAAUUUUACUUUUAUUUUACAAUGUAUUUGUUUUACUUUUGACACAGAGAAAAGCUUAUAACUUUGAGGUUAGCAAAAAAUUUGGUUUCAAAUAAUUUUGUACUGUUAUUACUAAAAUUUAGGUAGACACUUAAAAACUUUGUAUUUUAUAUUGCCCAAAACAUUUGCUCAAAUUAACUAGUUGAAAUAGUGAUAUUCUUUCUCCUUAUAUAUAUAACAUAUCAUUUACAAAAUUAAUACCUGCAGUUUUUUAGAUUUAUUGAUUUCAUUUGUCAUUAGCAUCUCCUUUGGAGAUGAUGUCAAUUACAAUCACAUUUAAACCUGGAUCAGACUUCAACACAUUGUACUAGGAACUGUUGUUCAUAUGUUGGGUUUUUUAUUAAAUACAAAAAAAAAAAAAAG